rnacentral:lncRNA from 1 species
ACAAAUAGUCCUUGAGAUUGUUUAGUUUUACCUCCUUAAUCCCUUUUCUUUUGAGAGCCAUUUCUUUUUAGAUUCUCUUCUACAAUCAGCUUUGGUUCUGUCGUUAUUUUCUUUUCUGCUUAUUUCUUUAGCAAACGCUCUUGGACGAAGGUGUGAUGCAUCCAUUGGAGAUUUCUCCUUAAAUAUGUAGGAUCAUCAAUGGGGAUUUG